rnacentral:rRNA from 1 species
AGAGUUUGAUCCUGGCUCAGAACGAACGCUGGCGGCAGGCUUAACACAUGCAAGUCGAACGACAUAGUGGCAGACGGGUGAGUAACGCGUGGGAACGUGCCUUUCACUACGGAAUAGCUCUUGGAAACGAGUGGUAAUACCGUAUACGCCCUCCGGGGGAAAGAUUUAUCGGUGAAAGAUCGGCCCGCGUUAGAUUAGUUUGUUGGUGGGGUAAUGGCCUACCAAGACUACGAUCUAUAGCUGGUCUGAGAGGACGAUCAGCCACACUGGGACUGAGACACGGCCCAGACUCCUACGGGAGGCAGCAGUGGGGAAUCUUGCACAAUGGGCGAAAGCCUGAUGCAGCCAUGCCGCGUGAAUGAUGAAGGCCUUAGGGUUGUAAAAUUCUUUCGCUAGGGAUGAUAAUGACAGUACCUAGUAAAGAAGCCCCGGCUAACUUCGUGCCAGCAGCCGCGGUAAUACGAAGGGGGCUAGCGUUGUUCGGAAUUACUGGGCGUAAAGCGCGCGUAGGCGGGCUAUUAAGCCAGAUGUGAAAGCCCGGAGCUCAACUCCGGAACUGCAUUUGGAACUGGUAGCCUAGAGACCAGGAGAGGUUAGCGGAAUACCGAGUGUAGAGGUGAAAUUCGUAGAUAUUCGGUGGAACACCAGUGGCGAAGGCGGCUAACUGGACUGGUACUGACGCUGAGGCGCGAAAGUGUGGGGAGCAAACAGGAUUAGAUACCCUGGUAGUCCACACCGUAAACGAUGAAUGCUAGUUGUCUGCGCGCAUGCGUGCAGGUGACGCAGCUAACGCAUUAAGCAUUCCGCCUGGGGAGUACGGCCGCAAGGUUAAAACUCAAAGAAAUUGACGGGGGCCCGCACAAG